rnacentral:rRNA from 1 species
UACAGAGACUGCAAGCGUUAUUCGGAUUCACUGGGCGUAAAGGGUGCGUAGGUGGUGAUGCAAGUCUGGUGUGAAAUCUCGGAGCUCAACUCCGAAAUUGCACCGGAUACUGCGUGACUCGAGGACUGUAGAGGAGAUCGGAAUUCACGGUGUAGCAGUGAAAUGCGUAGAUAUCGUGAGGAAGACCAGUUGCGAAGGCGGAUCUCUGGGCAGUUCCUGACACUGAGGCACGAAGGCCAGGGGAGCAAACGGG